CCUACGGGCGGUAGCAGUGGGGAAUAUUGCACAAUGGGCGCAAGCCUGAUGCAGCCAUGCCGCGUGUGUGAAGAAGGCCUUCGGGUUGUAAAGCACUUUCAGCGGGGAGGAAGGCGUUAAGGUUAAUAACCUUGGCGAUUGACGUUACCCGCUGAAGAAGCACCGGCUAACUCCGUGCCAGCAGCCGCGGUAAUACGGAGGGUGCAAGCGUUAAUCGGAAUUACUGGGCGUAAAGCGCACGCAGGCGGUCUGUCAAGUCGGAUGUGAAAUCCCCGGGCUCAACCUGGGAACUGCAUUCGAAACUGGCAGGCUAGAGUCUUGUAGAGGGGGGUAGAAUUCCAGGUGUAGCGGUGAAAUGCGUAGAGAUCUGGAGGAAUACCGGUGGCGAAGGCGGCCCCCUGGACAAAGACUGACGCUCAGGUGCGAAAGCGUGGGGAGCAAACAGGAUUAGAUACCCUUGUAGUC
rnacentral:rRNA from 1 species